rnacentral:rRNA from 1 species
AACUCGAUCUCAAAUCAAGUAAGACUACCCGCUGAACUUAAGCAUAUCAAUAAGCGGAGGAAAAGAAACUAACAAGGAUUCCCCUAGUAACGGCGAGUGAAGCGGGAUGAGCUCAAAUUUAAAAUCUGGCUGGUUUACUAGUCCGAAUUGUAGUUUAUAGAAGCGUUUUCGGUGGCAGCCUGGGUAUAAAUCCUUUGGAAUAGGGUAUCAUAGAGGGUGAGAAUCCCGUCUUUGACUCAGUGCAUGCUACUAUGUGAUACGUUUUCAAAGAGUCGAGUUGUUUGGGAAUGCAGCUCAAAAUGGGUGGUAAAUUUCAUCUAAAGCUAAAUAUUGGCGAGAGACCGAUAGCGAACAAGUACCGUGAGGGAAAGAUGAAAAGAACUUUGAAAAGAGAGUUAAACAGUGCGUGAAAUUGUUGAAAGGGAAACGUUUGACACCAGUUAUGCGGGUGGAAAAUCAGUCUUUUGCAAUGGGGAGUUGUGGGCGUUCAGACCGCAAGGCUGGCGUUUGCUUCAUCUUUGUUGUAAGUGAUGCACUUUUUCAUUUGCAGGUCAACAUCAGUUUGCUUUGCUGGACAAAACCCCAAGGGAAGGUGGCAGCUUAGGCUGUGUUAUAGCCCUGGGGCGAUACAGUGGAGUGGACUGAGGUUUCGCAGUGUGUGCUCUCGGGCAAGGCUGACUGGGUGCUAUGGGAUCGUUCGGCGUACAAUGCAUGCAUUUUGCGUCGUGUCUUUUUCAUACUCGCUCAACUCGGCUCUUCCACACUUAGGAUGUUGACUUAAUGGUUUUAAACGACCCGUCUUGAAACACGGACCAAGGAGUCUAACAUAUAUGCAAGUGUUUGGGUGGCAAACCCAUGCGCGUAAUGAAAGUGAACGUAGGUGCGAUCCGCAAGGUGCAGCAUCGACCGAUCUUGAUAU